rnacentral:rRNA from 1 species
AACCGGAUUAGAUACCCUGGUAGUCCACGCCCUAAACGAUGUCUACUAGUUGUCGGGUUUUAAUUAACUUGGUAACGCAGCUAACGCGUGAAGUAGACCGCCUGGGGAGUACGGUCGCAAGAUUAAAACUCAAAGGAAUUGACGGGGACCCGCACAAGCGGUGGAUGAUGUGGAUUAAUUCGAUGCAACGCGAAAAACCUUACCUACCCUUGACAUGUACGGAAGACCGAAGAGAUUUGGUUGUGCUCGAAAGAGAACCGUAACACAGGUGCUGCAUGGCUGUCGUCAGCUCGUGUCGUGAGAUGUUGGGUUAAAUCCCGCAACGAGCGCAACCCUUGUCAUUAGUUGCUACAUUUAGUUGAGCACUCUAAUGAGACUGCCGGUGACAAACCGGAGGAAGGUGGGGAUGACGUCAAGUCCUCAUGGCCCUUAUGGGUAGGGCUUCACACGUCAUACAAUGGUACAUACAGAGGGCCGCCAACCCGCGAGGGGGAGCUAAUCCCAGAAAGUGUAUCGUAGUCCGGAUCGCAGUCUGCAACUCGACUGCGUGAAGUUGGA